UACGUAGGCAGCAAGCGUUGUUCGGAAUUACUGGGCGUAAAGAGCUCGUAGGCGGCUUGUCGCGUCGAAUGUGAAAACUUGGGGCUCAACUCCAAGCUUGCAUUCGAUACGGGCAGGCUAGAGUUCGGUAGGGGGAGACUGGAAUUCCUGGUGUAGCGGUGAAAAUGCGCAGAUAUCAGGGAGGAACACCCGGUGGCGAAGGCGGGUCUCUGGGCCGAUACUGACGCUGAGGAGCGAAAGCGUGGGGGAGCGAACAGG
rnacentral:rRNA from 1 species